UACAUUUAGUUGUUUUUGCAUUUAAAUUUUUGGGGUUUAAGGUGAUAAUUGAUUUUAUUAAAUGUAA
rnacentral:tRNA from 1 species